CAAGUGGGCUCAGGCUCUCCACAUAUGUCCAGAUGCCCUGCAAGUUAACCAGGGGAAGAAGCUUCCACAGACAGAACCUGCCCUCAGGAGACUCUCAGGGGGACACAACGUCAGGUACUGCGGCUGAGCGUCCUGCGUCUGCUCCUCUUCAAGCUGCUUCUGCUAGAUGUGUUCCUGACCUGCAGCCGCCUCUGUGUGCUGGCGGGCCAGCACCUAUUGCCACCACCCUCAAGCAAGCAAGCCCCAGCUUCCACCCACCAAAGUUGGACUUAAUGAGGUUAUGAGCUUGAUCUUGUCCACCCAUCUAAGUCUAGGGUGGUAACACUGGACACUACUGCUCCCUGGGGCAGGAAACACAGAGUCCCGGAGCUGGUGAUCCCCGCUCAGUGUUUCUUGUUCAAACUGGGGACUUCCUUGUUUUUGUGUAUGUGGUCUCCCUCUUCCUGUGAUUAGAGCUAUCGGGGACUGGAGUCUUGCCUCCCCUAUCAGACUGAGACUUUGGGAGGAAAAGGACUAUGUCUCUCCCAUCAGACUGGGCAGGAGGAUGUGCCCGGUAACUAGGCACAAUAUAAAAGGUUUAUACAACACAAACACAUCACAAA
rnacentral:lncRNA from 1 species